ensembl:lncRNA
CAGAAUAAGUGCUGCCUGUAUUAGGAGAAUAAGCUGCCAUAUUCCAGUCUGUUCCAAGUGGGAAAAGGAGCCUGGUGCUGCCUCUGCCUGUGACCUGAAAAUUCACCCUCAUGUGCGUAUUCCAUGGCUGGAUGAAGACCACCUUGGCACAGGUGAUGCAGGGGAAGGACACACUAUUGCAUUCUGAAUCAAGAAAAGCAUAACAUACUGGAGGAUGUGCUUUUUUUUUUUGUCCUCUCUUUCAACAUCACAGUCAGCACUCACUUCCCUGCCUUCCCCUUCUUUUCCUUAAUAUCAGAGUGGCCCUCAAUAAGCCAUUGUGCUCUGUGCCUCUGGGUGGUGUUUGGUACAAGCUGAAGAAAAUUAAACUUUGGUGGCAGCAUAAUUCAAUGUCCUGUCAUUGCACAGUGUGUGCAUGGGUACCAGGCUCCAGCCAUUCCCUGCAGUGUGGCCACUCUGUCACUCUUCCCAUUUCCUCCUGCAGUGACCUCAAGCACGAGUGCUGUUGUAACAAGCAGGUAAUUUAGACAUUCAGAGAAAUUUAGGAGAGGCAUGCCAGGGGACUGGGGACUCUAGGCUGAGACUUCACAGCCAUCAAUUAAAGAUCAUAAGGUUAUUGUACUUUUCUAGUUUUAACUAAUUACUUGCUUAAUUUCUACCUUCUAAUUUAUGUCCUUCUGUCUUUAGGUAUACAUCAUAUACAUGUCUAAUGCAAUUUACUGCAAUAUAUUUAUCACAUUAUGGAAGAGUGUUAUCUUCAUCAAUUACAAGAAAAAAAAGCCCCUAGAAUUAAUAAGGGGAUAAAAGCUAAAUUUGUAUUUUGGUGGACUCUUGAAGGCUUAUCUCCAUGGGAAAGCUGUGUGUAAAUCUGCAGUGUUUCAUCUGGCUUGUGUUAAGUCCUAAGUUUGGAUCUCAAUUCUAUGGGGUUCAGAGAAGCCUCAGUUGUCUGCAGCAGCUGCAGAGCUACAUGGCCUGUGUUGUCCAGCAGAGAUUUGGUGGCUGCUCCAUGGACAGACAAAGCUUUCUUGCAGGGGAGAAGCUGCAGCCCCGAGAGCAGCUGCAGAAAGCACAGGUGCUGUGCUACUGCUGACCAUCCUGCUCCCAAGACAGAACCCUGCACCAACCCUUUCAUCUGUGAAAGGAGGUUUUAUCAGAAACACGUGAAGCCCUUUGUCUUGCCCUUUGUGAAAACAGAAUGUGGAAGAACCCAAGAAGAUGACAGAAACUAGGAAGAUGCAUUUCUGAUUAUGUUUUGGUCUGUCCCAAACGCUCACCUGCCUGCUUCCAGCUCCUUCCAGUUUCCCCUGGAUGGGAACAACCGAACAACUCAAAUGGGGAACAACUCAUGUUGUCCAGUGCCCAGCAGAAGCAUUUCUGCAUCACAAAGUCCAACAAAGUCAGUGUUUAUCCUGACCAGAGCUGUCCCAAAAAUCUCCCCAGUGGUAGGUUUCUGUACCCUGUACCUCACGCCUGCUCACCCCCUGCCAUUCAUCCUCCCAGCUCCCUUUUACACUGACCUAUGUCCA